UUCUUAGUAACCAUAUAUAGGCAUUCAGGGCACAAACUCCAGUGCCACUAGCUGAGUUCAAGUUCCAGCUCUGCUUCUCACCGUCUUUGAGAUCUUAGAGGGACAAUAAUCAUCCAGCCCUCAGACCCCCGUCAUGGUGUCUUCACCUCCUGCCAGUGCUUCAGGCUUCCUGAGGUGCAGCCCAGCUGGGACCUGGAAAUUCCCGAUCCCACACACCACCGCCCACCGGGAAGGAAGCAUGGACUGGCAACAAAGUGUCUUUACUGUGUGCCAUCUGAUUGCAAACAGAACUGGGCUUUCCAAGAGAAGCUGAGGAGGACAGUGGAGAGCUUUUAUCUUGAACCUAGGAGGUGGAGGUUGUAGUGAGCCGAGAUCACGCCACUGCACUCCAGCUUGGCGACAGAGCGAGACUCCGUCUCAAAAAAGAAGAAAGAAAAAAAAAGGAGCGAGAGAAUGGCCACAGAGGCCAGGGCAUUAGGGCUUGCUGGACCAGGGAUGCUGCAGGGAGCUUGGGCUUGUGGCCGGAUUGCAGUUUCGGGAUAUGGGCUCACUGCAACCUCCGCCUCCCUGCUCAAGUGAUCUUCCUACCUCAGCCUCCCAAGGAACUGGGACUGCAGGUGUGUGCCACCA